rnacentral:lncRNA from 13 species
UGGAAACGGAAAUUAGGCUGAAAAUACUGUAUCCGUGAAAACCGGAAACAUCUGCUUUCUCCCCAUCCCACUGGAGAGUCAAAGAGCUCAGUGGUAGGGCGAUCAAAUUUUUGAACCCUCAAAAUCCAGAAUGAGACGACACACAACAUAUGAUGAAGACCUGCGAGAUGCUACCAGGAGGAAAAGCGAGAAGGACCCUGAGGAUAAACAACACGAAUCCACCAUUUACUCAUUCAGGACACGGGAGCAGGACACAGCAGCCACAGGCUUCCAGCGCUUCCUCAAUGUCCUCAACAAAGGGGUGGACAUCAACAAGCUCUCAAAUAUUGUCAACAACGUGAAUGAGUUACCCCCUAUGCAGGAGGGCCAUCCCAUGACUACCUACAGGAGUGAGUAUAAGGGGGCCCCAGCUCAGAGCUCUCAGGAUUGCUUGGGACCCCACAGUAGAGCUCUGCCACAGGACCACAGUCACUCACACAUUCUUGGAGAAAGGAGGCUGGAUCUCCCACACGGCCAGCUCCAGAGCCUGCUGGAGUCCAUCGGGCUAGACCUGGGGGUGGAGGAGUUGGGCCGACUGUCAGACCGGACCAAGGAGAGGCUGUACGGGAUGAAGAGAGACCAGGAGAGGAGUCCCCUGACGUCAGACAGGCACUCUAGAACUAGAGACUGGGACAGAGAACGAGACGAGGACACAGAGAGGAACGGAUCUAAGAGAAACGGAGAAAGAGACAGAGAGAGAGACUGGGUCAGUUCUGAGCGAGACCGAGAGAGAGACGGGGACAAAUCUGAGCGAGAUAGGGACAGGCGCUCUAAUACCAGGGACAGGCACUCUGGUUCCAGGGACAGGCGCUCUAGUACCAGGGACAGGGACAGGCGCUCUAGUACCAGGGACAGGGACAGACACUCUGGUUCCAGACACUCUGGUACCAGAGACAGCAACAGGGACAGGCGCUCUAGUACCAGGGACAGAGACGAGGACAGGCGCUCUAGUGCCAGGGACAGAGACGAGGACAGGCGCUCUAGUGCCAGGGACAGAAACAGGGACAGGCGCUCUAGUGCCAGGGACAGGCGCUCUAGUACCAGGGACAGGCGUUCUAAUACCAGGGACAGGCGCUCUAGUACCAGGGACAGGAACAGGCGCUCUAGUACCACGGACAGGCUCUUUACUAACAGGGACAGAGACAGGGACAGGUGCUCUAGCAGCAGAGAAAGGGACAGGCGCUCUAGUAACAGGGACCGAGACCGGGACAGGCGCUCUAGUAACAGGGACAGAGACAGGAACAGGCGCUGUAGUACCAGGGACUGUGACAGAGAUGGCGACUGGGCCGAAGGAAGCGACAAUGAUUGGUAUAGGGACAAGUCCAAGGAAAGCUCUGCUGAGCUCAACACNNNNNNNNNNAGCCCACUAGCAACCCCCAGGUCACAUCUACCAAGCCCGCUAGCACCCGCCAGCUUACAUACAUCCAGACUGCUAGCAACCCCCAGGUCACACCUACCCAGCCCGAUAAUGAACUCAAGUUCACAAGCAUGGCUGUACUGA